rfam:Schistosoma mansoni strain Puerto Rico chromosome 2, complete genome
AGCCUUCUAAAUCUGUGCUGAGAUUUGAUUGGACACCAGACCAUCAGCACUGAUGAGACUUCCAAGAUGAGCAAAGUG